CCUACGGGGGGCUGCAGUGGGGAAUAUUGCACAAUGGGCGCAAGCCUGAUGUAGCCAUGCCGCGUGUGUGAAGAAGGCCUUCGGGUUGUAAAGCACUUUCAGCGGGGAGGAAGGCGGUGAGGUUAAUAACCUCAUCGAUUGACGUUACCCGCAGAAGAAGCACCGGCUAACUCCGUGCCAGCAGCCGCGGUAAUACGGAGGGUGCAAGCGUUAAUCGGAAUUACUGGGCGUAAAGCGCACGCAGGCGGUCUGUCAAGUCGGAUGUGAAAUCCCCGGGCUCAACCUGGGAACUGCAUUCGAAACUGGCAGGCUAGAGUCUUGUAGAGGGGGGUAGAAUUCCAGGUGUAGCGGUGAAAUGCGUAGAGAUCUGGAGGAAUACCGGUGGCGAAGGCGGCCCCCUGGACAAAGACUGACGCUCAGGUGCGAAAGCGUGGGGAGCAAACAGGAUUAGAUACCCUUGUAGUC
rnacentral:rRNA from 1 species